rnacentral:rRNA from 1 species
UACGUAGGGGGCAAGCGUUGUCCGGAAUCAUUGGGCGUAAAGCGCGCGUAGGUGGCUUUGUAAGUCCGUUGUGAAAGUCAAAGGCUCAACCUUUGAAUGCCGAUGGAUACUGCGGAGCUAGAGUACGGAAGAGGCGAGUGGAAUUCCUGGUGUAGCGGUGGAAUGCGCAGAUAUCAGGAGGAACACCAAUAGCGAAGGCAGCUCGCUGGGACGUUACUGACACUAAGGCGCGAAAGCGUGGGGAGCGAACGGG